UGCAGUCGAACGAUGACGCCCAGCUCGCUGGGUGGAUUAGUGGCGAACGGGUGAGUAACACGUGAGUAACCUGCCCUUGACUCUGGGAUAAGCGCUGGAAACGGCGUCUAAUACCGGAUACGACCUGCCCCGGCAUCGGGUGCGGGUGGAAAGUUUUUCGGUCAAGGAUGGACUCGCGGCCUAUCAGGUAGUUGGUGAGGUAAUGGCUCACCAAGCCGACGACGGGUAGCCGGCCUGAGAGGGUGACCGGCCACACUGGGACUGAGACACGGCCCAGACUCCUACGGGAGGCAGCAGUGGGGAAUAUUGCACAAUGGGCGAAAGCCUGAUGCAGCAACGCCGCGUGGGGGAUGACGGCCUUCGGGUUGUAAACCUCUUUUAGUAGGGAAGAAGGGCUUCGGCUUGACGGUACCUGCAGAAAAAGCACCGGCUAACUACGUGCCAGCAGCCGCGGUAAUACGUAGGGUGCAAGCGUUGUCCGGAAUUAUUGGGCGUAAAGAGCUCGUAGGCGGUUUGUCGCGUCUGCUGUGAAAACCCGAGGCUCAACCUCGGGCCUGCAGUGGGUACGGGCAGACUAGAGUGCGGUAGGGGAGAAUGGAAUUCCUGGUGUAGCGGUGGAAUGCGCAGAUAUCAGGAGGAACACCGAUGGCGAAGGCAGUUCUCUGGGCCGUUACUGACGCUGAGGAGCGAAAGCGUGGGGAGCGAACAGGAUUAGAUACCCUGGUAGUCCACGCCGUAAACGUUGGGAACUAGAUGUGGGGACCUUUCCACGGUCUCCGUGUCGCAGCUAACGCAUUAAGUUCCCCGCCUGGGGAGUACGGCCGCAAGGCUAAAACUCAAAGGAAUUGACGGGGGCCCGCACAAGCGGCGGAGCAUGCGGAUUAAUUCGAUGCAACGCGAAGAACCUUACCAAGGCUUGACAUAUACCGGAAACUUCCAGAAAUGGUUGCCCCGCAAGGUCGGUAUACAGGUGGUGCAUGGGUGUCGUCAGCUCGUGUCGUGAGAUGUUGGGUUAAGUCCCGCAACGAGCGCAACCCUCGUUCUAUGUUGCCAGCACGUCAUGGUGGGAACU
rnacentral:rRNA from 1 species